UCUCUCUCUUUCUAUAACCAUGCUCCUCCAUGUUUCCGACUUCUUUUAAUAUUUUAAUUGAAGGGCUUCAAUGCUGUUGCUGAUAAUCUGGCUUACUCGGCUAUUUCUCUUCCAGUUGGAGAAAUUUGUGAGGAUUGUGGGCCAUUUAACUAAAUAUAGCGAGUACAAGCUGCCUAGCAACAUUUUCCCCCCCUAUUUGCUGUUCUUUAAUUAUUAUUAGUCAGGUAUUGUAAAUGUAUAUUUUUCUUUUGGAUAACUUAUAAACAGAUAUCAUCUGCUGGCUUUGCAGCUUA